rnacentral:rRNA from 1 species
CGAUGCGUGUAGCUAACCUGUACUAAUUGCUCGUUUGGCUUGACCAUACAACACCCAAG